GCGGUAGUGAGGGGAUUUUUAUUGGUGCGGCUAUAUGUCACCUAUUUUGUAUUGCGUCUACUUAGCCAAUAAGAAAAAACGCAAUGGCACAGC
rnacentral:antisense_RNA from 1 species